AAAACAAGCUUUUAAGAGCAGAUGGCGGAUGCCUUGCCAAAGAGAGGCGAUGAAGGACGUACUAGACUGCGAUAAGCUAUGCGGAGCUGUCAAGGAGCUUUGAUGCGUAGAUGUCCGAAUGGGGCAACCCAACUAAUAGAGAUAUUAGUUACUCUUUAACAGAGAGCGAACCUAGUGAAGUGAAACAUCUCAGUAACUAGAGGAAAAGAAAUCAACGAGAUUCCCUAAGUAGUGGCGAGCGAACGGGGAAAAGGGCAAACCGAGUGCUUGCAUUCGGGGUUGAGGACUGCAAUAUCCACAAGAACGCUUUAGCAGAGUUACCUGGAAAGGUAAGCCAUAGAAAGUGAUAGCCUUGUAUGCGACAAGGCGUUUUUAGGUAGCAGUAUCCAGAGUAGGCCAGGACACGAGAAAUCCAGGUUGAAGCCGGGGAGACCACUCUCCAACCCUAAAUACUACUCUUUGAGCGAUAGCGAACAAGUACCGUGAGGGAAAGGUGAAAAGAACCGCAGUGAGCGGAGUGAAAUAGAACCUGAAACCAUCUGCUUACAAUCAUUCAGAGCCCUAUGAUUUAUCAGGGUGAUGGACUGCCUUUUGCAUAAUGAUCCUGCGAGUUGUGGUAUCUGGCAAGGUUAAGCGAAUGCGAAGCCGUAGCGAAAGCGAGUCUUAAUAGGGCGAACAAGUCAGAUGCUGCAGACCCGAAGCUAAGUGAUCUAUCCAUGGCCAAGUUGAAACGCGUGUAAUAGCGCGUGGAGGACUGAACUCGUACCCAUUGAAACGGGUUGGGAUGAGCUGUGGAUAGGGGUGAAAGGCCAAACAAAUUUAGUGAUAGCUGGUUCUCUUCGAAAUAUAUUUAGGUAUAGCCUCAAGUGAUAAUAAAAGGGGGUAGAGCCCUGAUUGGGCUAGGGCUGCUCGCCGCGGUACCAAACCCUAUCAAACUUCGAAUACCUUUUAUCGUAUCUUGGGAGUCAGGCGGUGGGUGAUAAAAUCAAUCGUCAAAAGGGGAACAACCCAGACUACCAAAUAAGGUCCCUAAGUUCUAUUCUGAGUGGAAAAAGAUGUGUGGCUACUCAAACAACCAGGAGGUUGGCUUAGAAGCAGCCAUCCUUUAAAGAAAGCGUAACAGCUCACUGGUCUAGUGGUCAUGCGCUGAAAAUAUAACGGGGCUAAGAUAGACACCGAAUUUGUAGAUUGUGUCAAACACAGUGGUAGAAGAGCGUUCAUACCAGCGUUGAAGGUAUACCGGUAAGGAGUGCUGGAGCGGUAUGAAGUGAGCAUGCAGGAAUGAGUAACGAUAAGAUAUAUGAGAAUUGUAUCCGCCGUAAAUCUAAGGUUUCCUACGCGAUGGUCGUCAUCGUAGGGUUAGUCGGGUCCUAAGCCGAGUCCGAAAGGGGUAGGUGAUGGCAAAUUGGUUAAUAUUCCAAUACCGACUAUAGAGCGUGAUGGGGGGACGCAUAGGGUUAAGCGAGCUAGCUGAUGGAAGUGCUAGUCUAAGGGCGUAGAUUGGAGGGAAGGCAAAUCCACCUCUGUAUUUGAAACCCAAACAGGCUCUUUGAGUCCUUUUAGGACAAAGGGAGAAUCGCUGAUACCGUCGUGCCAAGAAAAGCCUCUAAGCAUAUCCAUAGUCGUCCGUACCGCAAACCGACACAGGUAGAUGAGAUGAGUAUUCUAAGGCGCGUGAAAGAACUCUGGUUAAGGAACUCUGCAAACUAGCACCGUAAGUUCGCGAUAAGGUGUGCCACAGCAAUGUGGUCUCAGCAAAGAGUCCCUCCCGACUGUUUACCAAAAACACAGCACUUUGCCAACUCGUAAGAGGAAGUAUAAGGUGUGACGCCUGCCCGGUGCUCGAAGGUUAAGAGGAUGCGUCAGUCGCAAGAUGAAGCGUUGAAUUGAAGCCCGAGUAAACGGCGGCCGUAACUAUAACGGUCCUAAGGUAGCGAAAUUCCUUGUCGGUUAAAUACCGACCUGCAUGAAUGGCGUAACGAGAUGGGAGCUGUCUCAACCAGAGAUUCAGUGAAAUUGUAGUGGAGGUGAAAAUUCCUCCUACCCGCGGCAAGACGGAAAGACCCCGUGGACCUUUACUACAACUUAGCACUGCUAAUGGGAAUAUCAUGCGCAGGAUAGGUGGGAGGCUUUGAAGUAAGGGCUUUGGCUCUUAUGGAGCCAUCCUUGAGAUACCACCCUUGAUGUUUCUGUUAGCUAACUGGCCUGUGUUAUCCACAGGCAGGACAAUGCUUGGUGGGUAGUUUGACUGGGGCGGUCGCCUCCUAAAAAGUAACGGAGGCUUGCAAAGGUUGGCUCAUUGCGGUUGGAAAUCGCAAGUUGAGUGUAAUGGCACAAGCCAGCCUGACUGUAAGACAUACAAGUCAAGCAGAGACGAAAGUCGGUCAUAGUGAUCCGGUGGUUCUGUGUGGAAGGGCCAUCGCUCAAAGGAUAAAAGGUACCCCGGGGAUAACAGGCUGAUCUCCCCCAAGAGCUCACAUCGACGGGGAGGUUUGGCACCUCGAUGUCGGCUCAUCGCAUCCUGGGGCUGGAGCAGGUCCCAAGGGUAUGGCUGUUCGCCAUUUAAAGCGGUACGCGAGCUGGGUUCAGAACGUCGUGAGACAGUUCGGUCCCUAUCUGCCGUGGGCGUAGGAAAGUUGAGGAGAGCUGUCCCUAGUACGAGAGGACCGGGAUGGACGUGUCACUGGUGCACCAGUUGUUCUGCCAAGAGCAUCGCUGGGUAGCUACACACGGAUGUGAUAACUGCUGAAAGCAUCUAAGCAGGAAGCCAACUCCAAGAUAAACUUUCCCUGAAGCUCGCACAAAGACUAUGUGCUUGAUAGGGUAGAUGUGUAAGCGCAGUAAUGCGUUUAGCUGACUACUACUAAUAGAGCGUUUGGCUUGUUUUU
rnacentral:rRNA from 1 species